AACAUCAAUGCAAAACCAUUGGUCUUCUCAAAUUACUAUGCUACAGGAAAGCUUGAUUUCGAUCUUGCAGAGAAGGUUAUCAAGUGAAUUGUGGAUGGAUGUGAACAAUCAAGCUGUAAUUUGAUAGGAGAGACUGCAGAGAUGCGUGGUCUCUAUGUGGAAGGUGAAUAGGAUCUUGGUGGUUUUGCCAUCGGUGUUGUGGACAAGGAUAAGCUCAUCGACGGUAACACCAUGGAGGGAGAUAUCCUCAUUGGUCUUUCUUCAAGCAAGGUUCAUUCAAACGGGUUCUCUCUCCUUAGAAGAGUAUUGUACAAAAGUGGACUCUACUUGAUUGAUCAGUUCCCAAGAAACGAUGGCAAAACAAGUACCGUCGAAAUUCUCAUGACACCGACUGUCAUCUAUGUUAAGCAGGUUAGUCCAUAUCGAUGA
rnacentral:rRNA from 1 species